AGCACCUAAAAGCGUUUUCUUGCCAGCCCAUUAAGUGCUCUCGAAAAUCGUAGAUGUGUGCCACAGCAAGGCUCAGUUGCAAGUGAUUCUGUCCCAUCGAUGGCAACAUAAUCAUAAUAUACUGGCUACAGAU